rnacentral:tRNA from 1 species
GCCCCCGUAGCUCAAUGGACAGAGCAAUUGCCUUCUAAGCAAAAGGUUGUCAGUUCGAUUCUGGCCGGGGGCG